rnacentral:rRNA from 1 species
GACGAACGCUGGCGGCGUGCUUAACACAUGCAAGUCGAACGGAAAGGCCCUGCUUUUGUGGGGUGCUCGAGUGGCGAACGGGUGAGUAACACGUGAGUAACCUGCCCUUGACUUUGGGAUAACUUCAGGAAACUGGGGCUAAUACCGGAUCGGAGCUCCUGCUGCAUGGUGGGCGUUGGAAAGUUUCGGCGGUUGGGGAUGGACUCGCGGCUUAUCAGCUUGUUGGUGGGGUAGUGGCUUACCAAGGCUUUGACGGGUAGCCGGCCUGAGAGGGUGACCGGCCACAUUGGGACUGAGAUACGGCCCAGACUCCUACGGGAGGCAGCAGUGGGGAAUAUUGCACAAUGGGCGGAAGCCUGAUGCAGCAACGCCGCGUGCGGGAUGACGGCCUUCGGGUUGUAAACCGCUUUCGCCUGUGACGAAGCGUGAGUGACGGUAAUGGGUAAAGAAGCACCGGCUAACUACGUG